AUAGUUCUGUAGUUUAUAAGAAUGAUGAUUAGGUUUUUAGAAGCAUGUGUGAAAGCAUGUACCUUCCUCAAACUUUACUUGGACCUCAGUAUAUUACCUGUUUGAUG
ensembl:snoRNA